GGGGGCGUUUCCGGAUUAUUGGGCGUAAGAGCUCGUAGGCGGUUUGUCGCGUCUGCCUUGAAAGUCCGGGGCUCAACUCCGGAUCUGCGGUGGGUACGGGCAGACUAGAGUGAUGUAGGGGAGACUGGAAUUCCUGGUGUAGCGGUGAAAUGCGCGGAUAUCAGGAGGAACACCGAUGGCGAAGGCAGGUCUCUGGGCAUUAACUGACGCUGAGGAGCGAAAGCAUGGGGAGCGAACAGGAUUAGAUACCCUGGUAGUCCAUGCCGUAAACGUUGGGCACUAGGUGUGGGGGACAUUCCACGUUUUCCGCGCCGUAGCUAACGCAUUAAGUGCCCCGCCUGGGGAGUACGGCCGCAAGGCUAAAACUCAAAGGAAUUGACGGGGGCCCGCACAAGCGGCGGAGCAUGCGGAUUAAUUCGAUGCAACGCGAAGAACCUUACCAAGGCUUGACAUGGGCCGGACCGGGCUGGAAACAGUCCUUCCCCUUUGGGGCCGGUUCACAGGUGGUGCAUGGUUGUCGUCAGCUCGUGUCGUGAGAUGUUGGGUUAAGUCCCGCAACGAGCGCAACCCUCGUUCCAUGUUGCCAGCGCGUAAUGGCGGGGACUCAUGGGAGACUGCCGGGGUCAACUCGGAGGAAGGUGGGGACGACGUCAAAUCAUCAUGCCCCUUAUGUCUUGGGCUUCACGCAUGCUACAAUGGCCGGUACAAAGGGUUGCGAUACUGUGAGGUGGAGCUAAUCCCAAAAAGCCGGUCUCAGUUCGGAUUGGGGUCUGCAACUCGACCCCAUGAAGUCGGAGUCGCUAGUAAUCGCAGAUCAGCAACGCUGCGGUGAAUACGUUCCCGGGCCUUGUACACACCGCCCGUCAAGUCACGAAAGUUGGUAACACCCGAAGCCGGUGGCCUAACCCCUUGUGGGAGGGAGCUGUCGAAAGUGGGACUGGCGAUUGGGACUAAGUCGUAACAAGGUAAC
rnacentral:rRNA from 1 species